UAUUACAUGUACCAUCUCACACAUUUACUGUUAUCAGUGGUGCAAUGUCCUGUGCUCUGGGAAGGAAGCAAAUAGCACAGGUGAUGACUGCUAGUUACAGCUGACUAAACUCUAUUUGCUAGAGGUUAGGUAAACGUUACCACAGUCACAGAAGCUGUAGAAGUAAAUAGACACUGCUUUUUCUUACAAAGAACUGGGUCCAAAGACUUUAUUUAUAUUCAUUGUCUUCUUUAAAUCUUAAAAUAGCAUGGUGUGGCAGAAGUUUCAUUGUGGAGGGAUACUGAGUCUUGGAAACCCAGGAUCACACUAGUAAGUGGUACAACAAAGAUUUGAGUUUAGUAUUGCCUAACUCCAAAUUUUCAUGUGUUUGAUGUUACAGACUCCAACUCUCUACCCAGAGUAGCCAUAGUGACUGUUCCCUGGAGCUAGAUGCCAGCUGUUAGCAGCUCUGGGCCUCACAGUGAUGCUGGAAGGUAGUUACCAGGAUCUUCUGAAACUGAGCUGGAGGAGUCAGGGACAGGAUGGGAUGUACAGAGUUGGACCUAUGUGAAUGCUGCUUCUGCUGUCUUCCUUGUUCUAGGUUUUAGUCAAUUCAGGAGGGAUGGACCACAUCAAGGAGCUCCCUGGUCUUCUGGAGGUCAAGAGGUGUCAUUGCCAGGCUGCUGAGGAUCCGGAGAGGGUUGGAUGUGUGCUUCUAGUGGCUUGCUUUCAGGUGAGUUGCCUAGGAUUGCAGAGUUCUCACUCCUGCCAGGGCUCUUUUCACACAGCCACUUCUUUUGGCUCUGGUGUUUCAUGUCCUUGUCCCUUUAGGGGACAUCCAUCAUUGCUUGGUUUCUAUAAAACCCUUUCAUGUCUUUGUAGACUCUUUACAACUACAGUUUGGAUGUGCUUAUUUGUGUGCUGCCUUCUAAGAAUUCAUCUUAUAAGUUAAACGUGAUAAUAUUUUAUUUGUGCUG